rnacentral:rRNA from 1 species
GAGUUUGAUCCUGGCUCAGGAUGAACGCUAGCUACAGGCUUAACACAUGCAAGUCGAGGGGCAUCAUGCAGGUUGCUUGCGAUCUGUGAUGGCGACCGGCGCACGGGUGAGUAACGCGUAUCCAACCUACCUUCGGCAGGGGCAUAACCCGGUGAAAGCCGGCCUAAUUCCCCAUGGUCCCCGUUGAUGUCAUCUGAUUCGGGGUAAAGGUGUUUUUUCCGGCCGUUGAUGGGGAUGCGUCCGAUUAGUUAGUUGGCGGGGUAAAGGCCCACCAAGACAGUGAUCGGUAGGGGUUCUGAGAGGAAGAUCCCCCACAUUGGGACUGAGACACGGCCCAAACUCCUACGGGAGGCAGCAGUGAGGAAUAUUGGUCAAUGGGCGUAAGCCUGAACCAGCCAAGUAGCGUGGAGGACGACCGCCCUAUGGGUUGUAAACUCCUUUUAUGCGGGAAUAAAUUUCGGGACGCGUUCCCGUUUUGCAUGUACCGCAUGAAUAAGGACCGGCUAAUUCCGUGCCAGCAGCCGCGGUAAUACGGAAGGUUCCGGUGUUAUCCGGAUUUAUUGGGUUUAAAGGGAGCGCGGACUGCUUGUCAAGCGUGCAGUGAAACGCCGCGGCUCAACCGCGGUCCUGCUGCGCGAACUGGCUUGCUUGAGUGGGCUGUAGGUACGCGGAAUUCGUGGUGUAGCGGUGAAAUGCUUAGAUAUCACGAGGAACUCCGAUUGCGAAGGCAGCGUACCAUAUCCCGACUGACGUUUAUGCUCGAAGGUGCGGGUAUCAAACAGGAUUAGAUACCCUGGUAGUCCGCACUGUAAACGAUGGAUGCUCGCUGUCGGCGACAUAUUGCCGGUGGCCCAGCGAAAGCGUUAAGCAUCCCACCUGGGGAGUACGCCGGCAACGGUGAAACUCAAAGGAAUUGACGGGGGCCCGCACAAGCGGAGGAACAUGUGGUUUAAUUCGAUGAUACGCGAGGAACCUUACCCGGGCUUGAAUUGCAGGAGAACGAUACAGAGAUGUUGAGGCCUUUCGGGGCUCCUGUGAAGGUGCUGCAUGGUUGUCGUCAGCUCGUGCCGUGAGGUGUCGGCUUAAGUGCCAUAACGAGCGCAACCCCUUUGCGUAGUUGCCAUCGGGUGAUGCCGGGCACUCUUCGCAUACUGCCACCGCAAGGUGUGAGGAAGGUGGGGAUGACGUCAAAUCAGCACGGCCCUUACGUCCGGGGCUACACACGUGUUACAAUGGUGGGUACAGAGUGUUGUUCGUGCGCAAGCACGUUCCAAUCACAAAAUCCCUCCUCAGUUCGGACUGGGGUCUGCAACCCGACCCCACGAAGCUGGAUUCGCUAGUAAUCGCGCAUCAGCCAUGGCGCGGUGAAUACGUUCCCGGGCCUUGUACACACCGCCCGUCAAGCCAUGAAAGCCGGGGGCGCCUGAAGUCCGUGACCGCGAGGGUCGGCCUAGGGCGAAACCGGUGAUUGGGGCUAAGUCGUAACAAGGU